GGCGGGGCAGUGGGGGUCCCCUCCCGCCCCCGGGGAGCAGAAGCCGGGCAUUGCCCGGCGCAGUGGGCCCGGCCUGGGUUCUCAUCCCCUGUGAGAGGAGACCCAGCCGGCCGUUUGCCGAGGGUCGGUUCUGACGUGCCAGAGCAGGUGGCUGGGCUGAAAUUAACGCAAAGCCGGGGAGUCUGGCCACGUAACGGGCGUCCCUCGCAGCCCGGCCCCGCUCACUCAUCCCCUCUCUUCGCUGGGACGCUCACCGGGUGACGGGAGCGAGUUUAGACACGCAGGUGCUCGGACGGAACAAUAUACCAACGACUUUGGAUGCAGCAAACCUUUAGACCACCUGGAAAGCAAACUGCAGAAUGGAGCAGCUGCAUUAAAUAACUUAGAGCAACAAACACUUUGCAGCCAUUCCCAGGGUAUAAUGACCUCCCUUGACUGUCAUCUACUGCUGCGAAUCAGUUGGUACUUUCCCACCUAGGAUAUCAACACUUGUCAAAGGACACCCAUCCGUUUUAACCAGUGAGAAUGGCAAGAACUGCAAACCUGGUCUACAGAACCUUAAAGUUCACAUCUCAGUACUUUAAUUAGGUGCCUUGAGUCUCCCAAGUUUUAAGUAUCUAUUGUGCCUACUCUAUCCUGUGGUAUUAAACUAUCUCUGAGUUUUAAAUACAGAGUAAGGAAAAUACAUAGAUUUAGAUAAAUUCA